CCAACACGGCUUCAUGAAGAUGAAAUAUGAUCCCGAACGGAGGAGCGAUAUCGUCAAAACAAAGGCACGAAUGCACACGCGCGAAAGGAAACACAAGCUUGGACAUAUUCAGGCGGCGAGCUGCAGUUCGAUUUAUGGAACAGGAUUGGGAGGAAGAUUUAAUACUCCAAACACACCUGGGAAGUAGACUAAGGAGGCCUGUAAGGACCACAAAGGCCAGCAUUGUGUGCUCGGGCAAGCAGAGACCGAAGAAAAACAGGUGCCAGUGAGAGCAGCGACACCUGCGCGGAAUCAACAUCUGCAGUAUGUCUUCAACGCGCCAUCGGUAAGACAAGGAAAUCAUGCAUAACACAACAUGAAAAAUAUCAAGAGGCUCAGUUUCAUGAGACGGACUAGAACCAAGUGGAAAAAGUCAAGCGCCACAUGGCCUUGUUUUGUUUUCAUGAAGAGAUUGCCGUCGUGCUUUUCGGAGCCAACAAGAUCGUAGAGCAAAAGUCAAUCAAUGUCAACGGCCGUGCAAAAAUAAUUUUGUCAAAAUGAUUUGGGUAAAGCUACAGAUAGGGCCAAAACAGUGUUUUUCAAUAUUUUAGGUGGGCUGGGGGAAGAAAAAAGUCAUUUCUGGAAAAAAGGUUGUUUCUUUUUCUUUUUAGGGGGGGGGGGGGGGGGGGUUGUGUUCCAGAAAAAAGAUUGUAAAACAUUUCCGAAAAAAGCUUUGAUAUAUUUGAAAGAAGGUAAUCUAUUUUUUUAAAUGGUUCUAAAUUCUGAAAUGUAUUUUUCCAUAAAGUUGUAUAUUUCCAUUAAAAAAA